rnacentral:rRNA from 1 species
UAGGGAAUCUUCGGCAAUGGACGGAAGUCUGACCGAGCAACGCCGCGUGAGUGAAGAAGGUUUUCGGAUCGUAAAGCUCUGUUGUAAGAGAAGAACGAGUGUGAGAGUGGAAAGUUCACACUGUGACGGUAUCUUACCAGAAAGGGACGGCUAACUACGUGCCAGCAGCCGCGGUAAUACGUAGGUCCCGAGCGUUGUCCGGAUUUAUUGGGCGUAAAGCGAGCGCAGGCGGUUAGAUAAGUCUGAAGUUAAAGGCUGUGGCUUAACCAUAGUAGGCUUUGGAAACUGUUUAACUUGAGUGCAAGAGGGGAGAGUGGAAUUCCAUGUGUAGCGGUGAAAUGCGUAGAUAUAUGGAGGAACACCGGUGGCGAAAGCGGCUCUCUGGCUUGUAACUGACGCUGAGGCUCGAAAGCGUGGGGAGCAAACAGGAUUAGAUACCCUGGUAGUCCACGCCGUAACGAUGAGUGCUAGGUGUUAGACCCUUUCCGGGGUUUAGUGCCGUAGCUAACGCAUUAAGCACUCCGCCUGGGGAGUACGACCGCAGGUUG